rnacentral:misc_RNA from 1 species
GAAGAAGAACGCAGCGAAAUGCGAUAAGUAAUGUGAAUUGCAGAAUUCAGUGAAUCAUCGAAUCUUUGAACGCACAUUGCGCCCCCUGGUAUUCCGGGGGGCAUGCCUGUUCGAGCGUCAUUUCACCACUCAAGCCUCGCUUGGUAUUGGGCGACGCGGUCCGCCGCGCGCCUCAAAUCGACCGGCUGGGUCUUUCGUCCCCUCAGCGUUGUGGAAACUAUUCGCUAAAGGGUGCCGCGGGAGGCCACGCCGUAAAACAACCCCAUUUCUAAGGUUGACCUCGGAUCAGGUAGGGAUACCCGCUGAACUUAAGCAUAUCAAUAAGCGGAGGA